rnacentral:rRNA from 1 species
GUAGGGAAUAUUGGGCAAUGGAGGCAACUCUGACCCAGCCAUGCCGCGUGCAGGAUGACGGCCCUCUGGGUUGUAAACUGCUUUUAUACGGGAAGAAAAAAUACUACGUGUAGUAUACUGACGGUACCGUAAGAAUAAGGAUCGGCUAACUCCGUGCCAGCAGCCGCGGUAAUACGGAGGAUCCAAGCGUUGUCCGGAUUUGUUGGGUUUAAAGGGUGCGUAGGCGGAUCUUUAAGUCAGUGGUGAAAGCCUGCAGCUUAACUGUAGAAUUGCCAUUGAAACUGAAGAUCUUGAAUGUGGUUAAAGUAGGCGGAAUGUAUCAUGUAGCGGUGAAAUGCUUAGAUAUGAUACAGAACACCGAUAGCGAAGGCAGCUUGCUGAACCAUUAUUGACGCUGAGGCACGAAAGCGUGGGGAGCGAACAGGAUUAGAUACCCCUGUAGUCC